AUUGAACGCUGGCGGCAGGCCUAACACAUGCAAGUCGAGCGGAUGAAGGGAGCUUGCUCCUGGAUUCAGCGGCGGACGGGUGAGUAAUGCCUAGGAAUCUGCCUGGUAGUGGGGGAUAACGUCCGGAAACGGGCGCUAAUACCGCAUACGUCCUGAGGGAGCAAGUGGGGGAUCUUCGGACCUCACGCUAUCAGAUGAGCCUAGGUCGGAUUAGCUAGUUGGUGGGGUAAAGGCCUACCAAGGCGACGAUCCGUAACUGGUCUGAGAGGAUGACCAGUCACACUGGAACUGAGACACGGUCCAGACUCCUACGGGAGGCAGCAGUGGGGAAUAUUGGACAAAGGGCGAAAGCCUGAUCCAGCCAUGCCGCGUGUGUGAAGAAGGUCUUCGGAUUGUAAAGCACUUUAAGUUGGGAGGAAGGGCAGUAAGUUAAUACCUUGCUGUUUUGACGUUACCAACAGAAUAAGCACCGGCUAACUUCGUG
rnacentral:rRNA from 1 species